rnacentral:rRNA from 1 species
GAUGAACGCUGGCGGCGUGCCUAAUACAUGCAAGUCGAGCGAACAGAUGAGGAGCUUGCUCCUCUGACGUUAGCGGCGGACGGGUGAGUAACACGUGGGUAACCUACCUAUAAGACUGGGAUAACUUCGGGAAACCGGAGCUAAUACAGGAUAAUAUAUUGAAACGCGUGGUUCAAUAGUGAAAGACGGUUUUGCUGGCACUUAGCGAUAGAUCCGCGCCGCAUUAGCUAGUUGGUAAGGUAACGGCUUACCAAGGCAACGAUGCGUAGCCGACCUGAGAGGGUGAUCGGCCACACUGGAACUGAGACACGGUCCAGACUCCUACGGGAGGCAGCAGUAGGGAAUCUUCCGCAAUGGGCGAAAGCCUGACGGAGCAACGCCGCGUGAGUGAUGAAGGUCUUCGGAUCGUAAAACUCUGUUAUUAGGGAAGAACAAAUGUGUAAGUAACUAUGCACGUCUUGACGGUACCUAAUCAGAAAGCCACGGCUAACUACGUG